GUAGUCCACGCCGUAAACGAUGAUUACUAGGUGUGGGGGGAUUGAACCCUUCCGUGCCGGAGUUAACACAAUAAGUAAUCCACCUGGGGAGUACGACCGCAAGGUUGAAACUCAAAGGAAUUGACGGGGGCCCGCACAAGCAGUGGAGUAUGUGGUUUAAUUCGAAGCAACGCGAAGAACCUUACCAGGUCUUGACAUCGAUUGAAAGGCUAAGAGAUUAGCCCCUCUCUUCGGAGACAAGAAGACAGGUGGUGCAUGGUUGUCGUCAGCUCGUGUCGUGAGAUGUUGGGUUAAGUCCCGCAACGAGCGCAACCCCUAUUAUUAGUUGCUACAUUUAGUUGAGCACUCUAAUGAGACUGCCGUUGACAAAACGGA
rnacentral:rRNA from 1 species